rnacentral:rRNA from 1 species
GAUGAACGCUGGCGGCGUGCCUAACACUUUCAAGUCGAACGGAGUUAAAUAUCUUAAUCUUCGGAAGCGGAUGUUUGACUUAGCGGCGGACGGGUGAGUAACGCGUGAGCAACCUUUCCUCUACUGGGGAAUAACACAGGGAAACUUGUACUAAUACCGCAUGAGACCACAGAGCUGCAUGGCUUAGGGGUCAAAGAUUUAUCGGUAGAGGGUGGGCUCGCGUCUGAUUAGGUAGUUGGUGAGGUAACGGCCACCAAGCCGACGAUCAGUAGCCGACCUGAGAGGGUGACCGGCCACAUUGGGACUGAGACACGGUCCAAACUCCUACGGGAGGCAGCAGUGAGGAAUAUUGGUCAAUGGACGAGAGUCUGAACCAGCCAAGUAGCGUGAAGGAUGACUGCCCUAUGGGUUGUAAACUUCUUUGUUUGGGAAUAAAGUGAGGGACGUGUCCCUUUUUGUAUGUACCAUUCGAAUAAGCAUCGGCUAAUUCCGUG